rnacentral:rRNA from 1 species
UGGGGAAUAUUGCACAAUGGGGGAAACCCUGAUGCAGCGACGCCGCGUGAGCGAAGAAGGUUUUCGAAUCGUAAAGCUCUGUCCUAUGAGAAGAUAAUGACGGUAUCAUAGGAGGAAGCCCCGGCUAAAUACGUGCCAGCAGCCGCGGUAAUACGUAUGGGGCGAGCGUUGUCCGGAAUUAUUGGGCGUAAAGGGUACGUAGGCGGUCUAUUAAGUCAGGUGUGAAAGCGUGGGGCUUAACCUCAUUAAGCACUUGAAACUGAUAGACUUGAGUGAAGGGGAGGAAAGUGGAAUUCCUAGUGUAGCGGUGAAAUGCGUAGAUAUUAGGAGGAAUACCGGUGGCGAAGGCGACUUUCUGGACUUUUACUGACGCUCAGGUACGAAAGCGUGGGGAGCAAACAGG